rnacentral:rRNA from 1 species
UACGUAGGUGGCAAGCGUUGUCCGGAUUUAUUGGGUUUAAAGGGUGCGUAGGCGGCCCCGUAAGUCAGUGCUGAAAUAUCCCGGCUUAACCGGGAGGGUGGCAUUGAUACUGCAGGGCUUGAGUAAAGUUGAGGUAGGCGGAAUUGACGGUGUAGCGGUGAAAUGCUUAGAUAUCGAGAGGAACACCGGCGGCGAAGGCGGGUAGCUGGGCCGACACUGACGCUGAGGAGCGAAAGCCAGGGGAGCGAACGGG